GGCGGUUCUCAGGUGAUGCACCCUGGAAUCGGGCUCCUUCCGCUCUGGUUCCGGAUGUGUCACCCAAGAACCACA
rfam:Myotis lucifugus cont2.16875, whole genome shotgun sequence.